AGGCUCCAGCAUGGAAGUACUGGAGAAUACAGAUCUCCUCUGACACGUCUGCUUUAUGUCUCUCUGUCUCAGGUGGCACCGCAGCUUUUGUUGAUUUACAUUAACAUAACAUGUCUUUUAUUCAUCAACAUUAUGCUUUCUUAUUUUUACCCCUUGCUUGUGAGGGUCACCUUUUGAACAUUUAAUAAAGACGUAAAGAAUAAA